AACGCUAGCUACAGGCUUAACACAUGCAAGUCGCGGGGCAGCAUGUCGGUUGCUUGCAACCGAUGAUGGCGACCGGCGCACGGGUGAGUAACGCGUAUCCAACCUGCCCUUCACCACGGAAUAAUCCAGUGAAAAUUGGUCUAAUACCGUAUGAGGUCAUACGAUGGCAUCAGAAUAUGACGAAAGGUUUAGCGGUGAAGGAUGGGGAUGCGUCUGAUUAGCUUGUUGGUGAGGUAACGGCUCACCAAGGCGACGAUCAGUAGGGGUUCUGAGAGGAAGGUCCCCCACAUUGGAACUGAGACACGGUCCAAACUCCUACGGGAGGCAGCAGUGAGGAAUAUUGGUCAAUGGGCGAGAGCCUGAACCAGCCAAGUAGCGUGCAGGACGACGGCCCUAUGGGUUGUAAACUGCUUUUAUAUGGGGAUAAAGUGAGCUACGUGUAGUUUAUUGCAGGUACCAUAUGAAUAAGGACCGGCUAAUUCCGUGCCAGCAGCCGCGGUAAUACGGAAGGUCCAGGCGUUAUCCGGAUUUAUUGGGUUUAAAGGGAGCGUAGGCCGCCCCUUAAGCGUGUUGUGAAAUGCCGCGGCUCAACCGUGGCACUGCAGCGCGAACUGGGGGGCUUGAGUGCACGCAACGCAGGCGGAAUUCGUGGUGUAGCGGUGAAAUGCUUAGAUAUCACGAAGAACUCCGAUUG
rnacentral:rRNA from 1 species